rnacentral:misc_RNA from 1 species
CAGAGAACUUGCCCUUCGGGGUAGAUCUCCCCACCCUUUGUUAAUAUUCCUUUUGUUGCUUUGGCAGGCCAGGCAAUUGUCUACCGGCUUAGGCUGGCUAGUGCUUGCCAGAGGACCCAAACUCUAAUCUAAUGUCGUCUGAAUUACUAUACAAAUAGUUA